UAAUAUAUUGUAAUAUAUAAUUGUGUUAUGGGAUGGAAGUUUUAGACCUGAGAAAGAAGAGUAGUCAAGCAAAGAGUGUUGGCACCAUAAUUUCAAUAGCAGGGGCAUUAAUUGUGACUUUAUAUAAAGGCGUACGUCUUACAAGUGCUUCUCCUCUACCUGGGAAAUUCCUCGAUCAGCUUCUUCUGUCAAUUCAAUCUAAAUGGGUUAUUGCGGGUUUUAUACUUUUAUUGCAGAGCUUUUCCCUUGCACUUACUUUUGUAGUACAGGCUUGGGUUAUGAGGGAGUACUCUGCAGAGCUAAUGGCAACCGUGUUUUGUUGUAUCUCUGUGACCAUAAUAUCUGCAAUAGUAGCUCUGAUUGCUGAGAGAUCAAACCCAGAUGCUUGGCAAAUCAAGUCCAAAUAGAGCUUAUUGCAAUUGGGUUUAAUGCAGUUUUUGCGGUAGCAUUUAGAAAAGCUGUUCAUUUAUGGGCAGUCCGCAAGAAGGGCCCCAUUUAUCUUGCCAUGUUUAAGCCACUUAGACUUGUCAUUGCAUUCAUGUUUGGGAUUAUAUUUCUAGGGGAAACCAU